AUGGCUGCUCACCCGCCUGCUCCGGCUGCUCUGCCUACCAUGCCGAUGAUUGAUUGGAGGCCACUGCAUGCGGCAGCCAGGCCGUCUGUCUUUAUCAUUGUCCUCACGCCACGUCUAAAGAAGACCCUGAGACGUGUCGCUGACACAUACGGCAUCAAGGAAGAGAAAGAGCUUGAUGAAAUUUUUAAAGCAGAUUACCUCACGGAAACCGGCAUUGCCGUGAGGACAGUGGGCGACUUUCUCUUCAUCACAACAACUGCGCACAUUGUAGACUUCCUUUUUCAGGCACAGUGGGGGCCCAUUUCAGCAGCUCAGUUCAAUGAUUAUUUUGAGAUUGCGGUCACCUGCUCCCAUGCGGAAAGUCGCUUCAUUCAGGGCGGGUUUGUCGGAGAGCGAACCUACACACGAGCAACGGUUUGUGCCAUCGAUUGUGCCAAAGACUUGAUGAUGGUACGCGUGGAUCUUAGGGAUCUGGCCGUGAGGACUAGCGGGGAGCUGCAGCAGAGGAUUCGCUGCACAUCAGAUCAUCCGGCUGUUCAGUUCAGCAUGGCCACCAACGCGGGUACCCAAUGCAUGCUCUACUCUUGGCCGGCGUAUCGUCCGUGCACUAUGGCCACGGGACUUCAAGGCCUUCAUCGAGGACCGUUGGAUUUGAUGAGCACCAACAAGAAUGGCUAUGACUUGCAGCUUAUUGAAGCAUCGGUGGGAACCGAGGCCGGGUCAUCUGGCGCUCCACUUUACAAUACCAAUCAGCAGGUGCUAGGCAUACUGCACGGCGGGUCUGGGGUUCACUCACAAUUUAUCCCGGCACGCUACAUCUGGACCUUCAUUAACAACAAUUGUCUCCUUCCGAAGCCUCGAGGUCCGCAGGAUCAGGGUAAGCCCUCCCAGAGGCCGGGCCCCCCUCCUAGAGAUCGAGACAAGCGCUGA
rnacentral:rRNA from 1 species